AGGUAAGCUACUAAGAGCGAAUGGUGGAUGCCUUGACUGGUAAAGGCGAUGAAGGACGUACUAGACUGCGAUAAGCUACGGGGAGCUGUCAAGAAGCUUUGAUCCGUAGAUUUCCGAAUGGGGCAACCCAAUGUAUAGAGAUAUACAUUACCUAUAUAGGAGCGAACGAGGGGAAUUGAAACAUCUUAGUACCCUCAGGAAAAGAAAUCAAUAGAGAUUGCGUCAGUAGCGGCGAGCGAAAGCGCAAGAGGGCAAACCCAGUGCUUGCACUGGGGGUUGUAGGACUGCAAUGUGCAAGAGGUGAGUUUAGCAGAACAUUCUGGAAAGUAUAGCCAUAGAGGGUGAUAGUCCCGUAUGCGAAAAACAAACCUUAGCUAGCAGUAUCCUGAGUAGGGCGGGACACGAGAAAUCCUGUCUGAAGCUGGGUCGACCACGAUCCAACCCUAAAUACUAAUACCAGAUCGAUAGUGCACAAGUACCGUGAGGGAAAGGUGAAAAGAACUGAGGUGAUCAGAGUGAAAUAGAACCUGAAACCAUUUGCUUACAAUCAUUCAGAGCCCUAUGUAGCAAUACAGGGUGAUGGACUGCCUUUUGCAUAAUGAGCCUGCGAGUUGUGGUGUCUGGCAAGGUUAAGCAAACGCGAAGCCGUAGCGAAAGCGAGUCUGAAUAGGGCGCUUAGUCAGAUGCUGCAGACCCGAAACGAAGUGAUCUAUCCAUGAGCAAGUUGAAGCUAGUGUAAGAACUAGUGGAGGACUGAACCCAUAGGCGUUGAAAAGCCCCGGGAUGACUUGUGGAUAGGGGUGAAAGGCCAAUCAAACUUCGUGAUAGCUGGUUCUCUCCGAAAUAUAUUUAGGUAUAGCGUUGUGUCGUAAUAUAAGGGGGUAGAGCACUGAAUGGGCUAGGGCAUACACCAAUGUACCAAACCCUAUCAAACUCCGAAUACCUUAUAUGUAAUCACAGCAGUCAGGCGGCGAGUGAUAAAAUCCGUCGUCAAGAGGGAAACAACCCAGACUACCAGCUAAGGUCCCUAAAUCUUACUUAAGUGGAAAACGAUGUGAAGUUACUUAAACAACCAGGAGGUUGGCUUAGAAGCAGCCAUCCUUUAAAGAAAGCGUAAUAGCUCACUGGUCUAGUGAUUUUGCGCGGAAAAUAUAACGGGGCUAAAGUAAGUACCGAAGCUGUAGACUUGCGCACAACUUAGAUUAUUUAAGUUUAGAAUAUGAGAAACUAAGUUAUAUGUUUAGUUAUAUUUUUACUGAUUUUUAUAGAGUAAAGAUAGAAAUAAAACUUAGUAAAAUCAGUAAAAAUAUUCUUAGACUAAAGUUAAGUAGUUUAAGUUGUGUGCAAGUGGUAGGAGAGC
rnacentral:rRNA from 1 species